GCAUGGAUGGCUCAGUCAGUAGAGCAUGAGACUCUUAAUCUCAGGGUUGUGGGUUCGAGCCCCACACUGGGCA